rnacentral:rRNA from 1 species
UACGUAGGUGGCAAGCGUUUGUCCGGAUUUACUGGGCGUAAAGAGCGCGCAGGCGGUCGUAUAAGUCGAAUGUGAAAGCCCCCGGCUCAACUGGGGAGGGUCAUUCGAUACUGUUCGACUCGAAGGCAGGAGAGGGAAGUGGAAUUCCGGGUGUAGUGGUGAAAUGCGUAGAUAUCCGGAGGAACACCAGUGGCGAAGGCGACUUUCUGGCCUGUUCUUGACGCUGAGGCGCGAAAGCUAGGGGAGCAAACGGGG